UCCCCAGUGGCUCAGAUGGGUAAAGAAUCUGCCUGCAAUGCAGGAGACCCGGGUUCAACCCCUGGAUUGGGAA
rnacentral:tRNA from 1 species